rnacentral:misc_RNA from 1 species
AAGCAAUUAGAAUUCCAGAGAUGAUGAGAGCAGUAAAAAGACAAUUUUGACGCUGAAACCUAUAGCAAACAAACUGCAGCAGUUUGUAAUGGAAAGGGAUAAAGAAGAAAGUUUGUUCAAGAAUCAAGAUGCUAAUAUAUAAAAAGGACAGAAGUAAUCAGACUUAGGAAAUAACAUUACAGAUUAAAAAAUGAGUAUGAAUUUGGGACUACUGCACACUCAUGAACACAACUCCUUCUCAGACAUUCUUUGCAAGUUAAUACAAUACAAUACAAGAUGCAUCAUAAAGCCCAUAGAUGCUGCAAGAGUUUAGGCAAUAUGGCUUCAAAAAAGAUAAAAAUUAAUGUUUUGUAUUAUGAUUUCCGCAUUCAGACUAAAUUUACACAAAUAGGCUAUGUCUAUAUGCCCCAAGAAUAACCAACUAUUCUUGAUACAAACUUAUUAGAAGUAUAAAUGGAGAUGACUGAAUGAAAGAAUACUUACUCUCAUCCCAAUGGAAGUA